rnacentral:rRNA from 1 species
UACGAAGGUGGCAAGCGUUGUUCGGAUUUACUGGGCGUACAGGGAGCGUAGGCGGUUGGAUAAGCCCUCCGUGAAAUCUCCAGGCUUAACCUGGAAAGUGCAGAGGGGACUGUUCAGCUAGAGGAUGGGAGAGGAGCGCGGAAUUCCCGGUGUAGCGGUGAAAUGCGUAGAUAUCUGGAGGAAUACCGGUGGCGAAGGCGGCAUCCUGGACCAUUUACUGACGCUGAGGCGCGAAAGCUAGGGGAGCAAACGGG